rnacentral:rRNA from 1 species
UGGGGGAUAUUGCACAAUGGGCGAAAGCCUGAUGCAGCGACGCCGCGUGGGGGAUGAAGGCUUUCGGGUUGUAAACCUCUUUCGCUAUCGAACAAGGCCCGCUUAGGGUGGGUUGAGGGUAGGUGGAGAAGAAGCGCCGGCUAACUACGUGCCAGCAGCCGCGGUAAUACGUAGGGCGCGAGCGUUGUCCGGAAUUAUUAGGCGUAAAGGGCUUGUAGGCGGCUUGUUGCGCCUGCUGUGAAAACGCGGGGCUUAACUUCGCGCGUGCAGUGGGUACGGGCAGGCUUGAGUGUGGUAGGGGUGACUGGAAUUCCAGGUGUAGCGGUGGAAUGCGCAGAUAUCUGGAGGAACACCGAUGGCGAAGGCAGGUCACUGGGCCAUUACUGACGCUGAGGAGCGAAAGCAUGGGUAGCGAACAGG